UACAGAGGGUGCGAGCGUUGUUCGGAAUUAUUGGGCGUAAAGCGCGUGUAGGUGGUGAUGCAUGUCGGGUGUGAAAGCCCUCGGCUUAACCGGGGAAGUGCGCCCGAAACUGCAACACUAGAGUGCUGGAGAGGGUAGCGGAAUUCCGGGUGUAGAGGUGAAAUUCGUAGAUAUCCGGAGGAACACCAGUGGCGAAGGCGGCUACCUGGACGGACACUGACACUGAGACGCGAAAGCGUGGGUAGCAAACAGG
rnacentral:rRNA from 1 species